GUGGGGAAUCUUCCGCAAUGGACGAAUGUCUGACGGAGCAACGCCGCGUGAGUGAAGAAGGUUUUCGGAUCGUAAAGCUCUUUCGUUAGGGACGAACGUGCUCUUUGUGAAUAAUGAGGAGUAAUGACGGUACCUAAAUAAGAAGCCACGGCUAACUACGUGCCAGCAGCCGCGGUAAUACGUAGGUGGCAAGCGUUGUCCGGAAUUAUUGGGCGUAAAGCGCGCGCAGGCGGGAUAUCAAGUCUGUCUUAAAAGUGCGAGGCUCAACCUCGUGAGGGGACAGAAACUGGUAUUCUUGAGUGUCGGAGAGGAAAGUGGAAUUCCAAGUGUAGCGGUGAAAUGCGUAGAGAUUUGGAAGAACACCAGUGGCGAAGGCGACUUUCUGGACGAUGUCUGACGCUGAGGCGCGAAAGCUAGGGGAGCGAACGGGAUUAGAAACCCCUGUAGUCC
rnacentral:rRNA from 1 species